rnacentral:rRNA from 1 species
CCUACGGGUGGCAGCAGUGGGGAAUAUUGGACAAUGGGCGAAAGCCUGAUCCAGCCAUGCCGCGUGUGUGAAGAAGGCCUUCGGGUUGUAAAGCACUUUCAGUGGGGAAGAAAGCCUUGGGGCUAAUACCCUCGAGGAAGGACAUCACCCACAGAAGAAGCACCGGCUAACUCCGUGCCAGUAGCCGCGGUAAUACGGAGGGUGCGAGCGUUAAUCGAAAUUACUGGGCGUAAAGCGCGCGUAGGCGGUCUGAUAAGCCGGUUGUGAAAGCCCCGGGCUCAACCUGGGAACGGCAUCCGGAACUGUCAGGCUAGAGUGCAGGAGAGGAAGGUAGAAUUCCCGGUGUAGCGGUGAAAUGCGUAGAGAUCGGGAGGAAUACCAGUGGCGAAGGCGGCCUUCUGGACUGACACUGACGCUGAGGUGCGAAAGCGUGGGUAGCAAACAGGAUUAGAUACCCUGGUAGUC